rnacentral:rRNA from 1 species
GACGAACGCUGGCGGCGUGCUUAACACAUGCAAGUCGAACGGAAAGGCCCUGCUUGCAGGUUACUCGAGUGGCAAACGGGUGAUUAACACUUGGUUGCUUUGCCCUGCACUUCGGGUUACUCUUGGGAAACUGGGUCUAUUACCGGUUAGGAGCCCUCCUUCGUGUUGUGGUUUGAAAGUUUUUUCGGUGUAGGAUUUGCUCGCGGCCUUUUCGCUUGUUGGUGGGGGAAUGGCCUACCCAGGCGGCGACGGGUAGCCGGCCUGUGAGGGUGUACGGCCACAUUGGGAGUGAGAUAUAGGCCAGAGUCUCAUGGGGGGGAGAAGGGGGGAAUAUAGCACAAAGGGGGCAAGAGUGAGGCAGAGACGCCGCGUGGGGGAUAAAGGCGUUCGGGGGGUAAACACCGUUCGCUAGGGACAAAGAGUGUGUGUGACGGUACCGAGAUAAGAAGCACCGGCUAACUACGUG